rnacentral:rRNA from 1 species
CAUGCAAGUCGAACGCGCAGCGAAAGGUGCUUGCACCUUUCAAGCGAGUGGCGAACGGGUGAGUAACACGUGGAUAACCUGCCUCAAGGCUGGGGAUAACAUUUGGAAACAGAUGCUAAUACCGAAUAAAACUUAGUAUCGCAUGAUACAAAGUUGAAAGGCGCUACGGCGUCACCUAGAGAUGGGUCCGCGGUGCAUUAGUUAGUUGGUGGGGUAAAGGCCUACCAAGACAAUGAUGCAUAGCCGAGUUGAGAGACUGAUCGGCCACAUUGGGACUGAGACACGGCCCAAACUCCUACGGGAGGCUGCAGUAGGGAAUCUUCCACAAUGGGCGAAAGCCUGAUGGAGCAACGCCGCGUGUGUGAUGAAGGCUUUAGGGUCGUAAAGCACUGUUGUAUGGGAAGAAAUGCUAGAAUAGGGAAUGAUUCUAGUUCGACGGUACCAUACCAGAAAGGGACGGCUAAAUACGUGCCAGCAGCCGCGGUAAUACGUAUGUCCCGAGCGUUAUCCGGAUUUAUUGGGCGUAAAGCGAGCGCAGACGGUUGAUUAAGUCUGAUGUGAAAGCCCGGAGCUCAACUCCGGAAUGGCAUUGGAAACUGGUUAACUUGAGUGUUGUAGAGGUAAGUGGAACUCCAUGUGUAGCGGUGGAAUGCGUAGAUAUAUGGAAGAACACCAGUGGCGAAGGCGGCUUACUGGACAACAACUGACGUUGAGGCUCGAAAGUGUGGGUAGCAAACAGGAUUA